GAGAGAGAGAGAGAGAGAGAGAGAGAGAGAGAGAGAGAGAGAGAGAGAGAUUGACUGAGAGCGAGCGAGAGAUUUAUGUAAAGCACUCUCUGGUAAUUCUAGCCUUCAUCCGAUAUGCAUAAGGGAUGGGGCCACCAUUUUCUAGCGGUGUGUUUUUGUCAUAAGGUGAUUAGGAACGGAAUUAGUCUUGGAUAAUCCCGCCACACAAAGCGCUGCCAGGUCCCACCGGGACGGGAGACAAUGAUGCCUGACAGGGAUUAGGGCGCACGGUACCUGAGCGGAAGAGGAAGGGCUACAGCUCCUAUUUUUGGCCACAUCCGAAGGGGUCAAGGAGAAUUCUGUUUUGACAAACAUUGGUAGCCAUGGCCAAAGAAAUAACAAUUUAUUCUCGGAAGACCUGCGCGUGAUUUAAACGUAAUAGGCCACAGAAAAAUAAGAUUGGCUGUCAAGAGGACGCACCACACUCUCUCUGUCUCACACACACACAUAGAAACACACACACACUCACAGACAUAUGAUCCAUCGCUGGCAUUGUAAUUGAAAACACAGAGUGCACGCUGGCAAUUAAUCUUCCCCCCAGAUCUGUCCCUGUCCUCUGAUUUCCCAUGGAGAAAUCCCUCCACAUGCAGAUGGCAGAUAGGAGGGUUAUUGAUUGGCUGGCCUUGGAGGAAGCGGAGGACGAGGCGGAUGAGGAGGGGGAGAUGUGGAGGGGCACGGAGAUUCACCAUCCAGUAAUCUUCCCCGUGAUGCGGCUGCGUCCAAAUAACCUGCUGGGGCUGGAGGAGGGCGGCGGGGGAAAGGGGGGGCGGGGGGCAGGUUGGGGAUAAACAGGGGCAUCCAUCACGGGACGACCCGUUGCCGACGGUGAUGGAUGUCUCCUCCCGCCUCCUACGGUCCUCCCAGGGUCCACCUCUCAAUUCUGGGCUAGUAUGGGGAGUGACACCCCGUACCCGGGAGGAAUACCUGGCUGCACACAGCAGCACAAUGUCCACUCCUGGCCACAUUGAGACGGAGCGAUUCAGGGCACCGUGUGUGUGUGCGUGUGUGAGUGUGUGUGUGUGUGUGUGUGUGUGUGUGUGUGUGUGUGUGAGUCCGGCCACAUGUGCAGCAGUGCCACUGCUCCAUACCACAUGUGUGGCUUCUCAGUGCAUUAGCCCACAAAUCUAUUUGUGUUCAGAGGUGUGCAUUGCGAUUUAAUGUGCACAUGCAUUUUCAAUUGUCAUGCCACAGGCCUUAUGAGCCAAAGCCCCCUGCAACUCCUCCACCUCCUCCACCUCCUCCAGCCCCACCAGCCUCCAGGGACACAUUGCCAGUUUGCAUGCAGGCUGAUGCCAGUGCUUUCCGGGGGUGCCAGCCUGAUAGAUGGGGUGGACAUGCCAGGCUCUGCCUCCUCUCUUUCCCCGCUAGCAUUAGCGCUGAUCCACGUCUCCCUCCCUUUCUCUUCCCUCUCUGCCCCCUUCCUCUCUUUUGAUUUCCGACUCCUUUAG
ensembl:lncRNA